GAAGAUGCCGAUUACCCGCGAUGGGACGAAAAGACCCCGUGAACCUUUACUAUAGCUUAGCAUUGAAUUUGGGCACGCGAUGUGUAGGAUAGGUCGGAGGCUUUGAAGCGGGCACGCCAGUGUUCGUGGAGCCGCUGUUGAAAUACGACCCUUCGUUUGUUUGAGUUCUAACUUCGGAAAAGAAGGACAUUGCUUGGUGGGUAGUUUGACUGGGGUGGUCGCCUCCAAAAGCGUAACGGAGGCUUCUAAAGGUACCCUCAGGCCGAUCGGUAACCGGCCCAAGAG
rnacentral:rRNA from 1 species